rnacentral:rRNA from 1 species
AGAGCGAACGCUGGCGGCAGGCUUAACACAUGCAAGUCGAGCGGGCGUAGCAAUACGUCAGCGGCAGACGGGUGAGUAACGCGUGGGAACAUACCUUUUGGUUCGGAACAACCCAGGGAAACUUGGGCUAAUACCGGAUAAGCCCUUACGGGGAAAGAUUUAUCGCCGAAAGAUUGGCCCGCGUCUGAUUAGCUAGUUGGUGAGGUAACGGCUCACCAAGGCGACGAUCAGUAGCUGGUCUGAGAGGAUGAUCAGCCACAUUGGGACUGAGACACGGCCCAAACUCCUACGGGAGGCAGCAGUGGGGAAUAUUGGACAAUGGGCGCAAGCCUGAUCCAGCCAUGCCGCGUGAGUGAUGAAGGCCCUAGGGUUGUAAAGCUCUUUCGCUCGGGACGAUAAUGACGGUACCGAGAUAAGAAGCCCCGGCUAACUUCGCGCCAGCAGCCGC